rnacentral:rRNA from 1 species
UACGUAGGGUGCGAGCGUUGUCCGGAAUUAUUGGGCGUAAAGAGCUCGUAGGCGGCUUGUCGCGUCGGCUGUGAAAAACCCGCGGCUCAACUGUGGGCGGGCAGCUGAUACGGGCAGGCUGGAGUUCGGUAGGGGAGACUGGAAUUCCUGGUGUAGCGGUGAAAUGCGCAGAUAUCAGGAGGAACACCGGUGGCGAAGGCGGGGUCUCUGGGCAGUAACUGACGUGAGGAGCGAAAAGCGUGGGGGAGCGAACAGG